rnacentral:rRNA from 1 species
AAGUGGAUUAGCGGCGGACGGGUGAGUAACACGUGGGUAACCUGCCUCAAAGUGGGGGAUAGCCUUCCGAAAGGAAGAUUAAUACCGCAUAAUAUAAGAGAAUCGCAUGAUUUUUUUAUCAAAGAUUUAUUGCUUUGAGAUGGACCCGCGGCGCAUUAGCUAGUUGGUAAGGUAACGGCUUACCAAGGCAACGAUGCGUAGCCGACCUGAGAGGGUGAUCGGCCACAUUGGAACUGAGACAC